rnacentral:rRNA from 1 species
CAGCAGCCGCGGUAAUACGAAGGGUGCAAGCGUUAAUCGGAAUUACUGGGCGUAAAGCGUGCGUAGGCGGUGAGUUAAGUCUGCUGUGAAAUCCCCGGGCUCAACCUGGGAAUGGCAGUGGAUACUGGCUCGCUAGAGUGUGUCAGAGGAUGGUGGAAUUCCCGGUGUAGCGGUGAAAUGCGUAGAGAUCGGGAGGAACAUCAGUGGCGAAGGCGGCCAUCUGGGACAACACUGACGCUGAGGCACGAAAGCGUGGGAGCAAACAGGAUUAGAUACCCCGGUAGUCCCUGUCUCUUAUACA